AGAACGAACGCUGGCGGCAUGCCUAACACAUGCAAGUCGAACGCUCUUGGGGCUUCGGUCUCAGGGGAGUGGCGCACGGGUGAGUAGCGCGUGGGAACCUGCCCUGUUGUGGGGGAUAACCGAGGGAAACUUCGGCUAAUACCGCAUAAGCCGGUUGUCUUGAAGGAGAUGGCCGGGAAAGAUUUAUCGCGACAGGAGGGGCCCGCGUCGGAUUAGCUAGUUGGUGGGGUAACGGCCCACCAAGGCGGUGAUCCGUAGCUGGUCUGAGAGGAUGAUCAGCCACACUGGGACUGAGACACGGCCCAGACUCCUACGGAGGCAGCAGUGGGGAAUAUUGGACAAUGGGGGCAACCCUGAUCCAGCAAUGCCGCGUGAGUGAUGAAGGCCUUAGGGUUGUAAAGCUCUUUCGCCCGCGACGAUGAUGACGGUAGCGGGAGAAGAAGCCCGGCUAACUUCGUGCCAGCAGCCGC
rnacentral:rRNA from 1 species